rnacentral:rRNA from 1 species
CUGGCGGCAGGCCUAACACAUGCAAGUCGAACGGAUCCUUCGGGAUUAGUGGCGGACGGGUGAGUACACGUGGAACGUGCCCUUUGGUUCGGAACAACUCAGGGAAACUUGAGCUAAUACCGGAUGUGCCCUUCGGGGGAAAGAUUUAUCGCCAUUGGAGCGGCCGCGUCUGAUUAGCUAGUUGGUGAGGUAAAGGCUCACCAAGGCGACGAUCAGUAGCUGGUCUGAGAGGAUGAUCAGCCACACUGGAACUGAGACACGGUCCAGACUCCUACGGGAGGCAGCAGUGGGGAAUAUUGGACAAUGGGCGCAAGCCUGAUCCAGCAAUGCCGCGUGGGUGAUGAAGGCCUUCGGGUUGUAAAGCCCUUUUGGCGGGGACGAUGAUGACGGUACCCGCCGAAUAAGCUCCGGCUAACUUCGUG